ensembl:lncRNA novel transcript, antisense to PTPRN2
AGAGAUUCCAUUUCUUCCUGGGAUUAGGAAGCACGAAGUGUCCAGAUCUGCUUCUGAAAUCUCUUCCUCCCUUAAGGGUCAAAGCUGCCUCAUGCAGACGGAGAGGAGAAGCUGCGUUCCCUGCCUUUCCCGAAUUGUUUGUGGACUGUGAGUGAUGCAUGUCCUGUGGCACCAUGGGAGCACCAGGGAACACCAUGCUGUCUCUCCCCGGAGCCCCCACUGGCGUCCUGGCCAUUUCCAGCUUGUCUCCCAAAGACAGGCUUCUUUGUGCUUUGGUCACACGGAGAAUUAUCAGUGCAGUCUCUGUCUCUCUCUCUCAUUUCCCCCUAAAUUGCCACAUGUUGCAACUCCCAGGCGUGCCCCCAGCUCUCCUGAGGCUGGUUUGCAGUGGCCGGGCCCAGCUAAAGCAACUGAACCUCCAGAGCAGAGGACAGUGUCCUGCCUGCACGUCUUGACAUGGCCCCACAGGAGGGUUCCCUGUCUUUCACGUGCUGAUAGACCAAACACACCAAACGCAUUCCCGGGCAGGUGUGUACAUCAGAACAGUGAUGAAUCAGGGACCCUUCUUAGUGCUACUAUAAGUAACAACAGUGAGUCAGACGGGUGCAAACCCUUUGGAAGACUCAGUCUGCAAGCCCCAGGGAGCACAGGGGGGCUGGAGGGAACCGGGGGAGGGAUGCACAGGCGAGAAAUGCCCAUGACCCGGUCCACAGGUCAUGCACGUCCACACUUUCUAAAAAACCACCUACAAGAAAGGGGUUGUUUCCUGGCCCCCAGUGGGGUGCAGAAUGUCAGUGCUGGGCUGCACCCUGGGCAGGGCUGCUCUGGGCAGCAUCGCCACACCCGUGUCCCAUUCUUGGGGUGCAUCCCCUUCUCACAUCUGUGUCUAAAGCCAGGAAUGGGCAGUGUGACCUGAGGAAAAUCAGGGACACCCUCUGUGUCCUCAUAUGCAAACAUGUCUCUUUCAUGCCAGUUAAAUGAAGAAAAAGGCAAGACCUAAAUCCUGAACUCCUACCGCUAUAACACAUUCCUCUGCGCUAAGGAACUGACAUUCUAAAGGUGCAGAUACCCCCGGGCUGGAGGCUGAAUGGGCAAGAAGAUCCCGGCACAGCUCAGGCUGAGUCGAAAGACCGUGGUUUUUGGCCAGGCACAGUGGUUCAUGCCUGUAAUCCCAGCACUUUGGGAGGCUGAGGCAGGCAGAUCACUUAAGCCCAGGAGUUUGAGACCAGCCUGGGCAACAUGGUGAAACUCUGUCUCUACUAAAAAUAUAAAAGUUAAGCUAGGCGUGGUGGCGCAUGCCUGCAGUCCCAGCUACUCGAGAGGCUGAGGUGGGAGGAUCGCCUGAGCCCAGGAGGUCUAAGCUGCAGUGAGCCGAGAUUGCACUACUGCACUCCAGCCUGGGUGACAGAGCAAGACCACACCUUAGAAAAAAGAAAAGAAAAGAGAAAAAGAAAAGAAAGAA